AGAGUUUGAUCCUGGCUCAGGAUGAACGCUAGCUACAGGCUUAACACAUGCAAGUCGCGGGGCAGCAUGAUUUUUCCCUCGGGAAAGAUUGAUGGCGACCGGCGCACGGGUGAGUAACGCGUAUCCAACCUGCCCGUCACCACGGGAUAGCCUGCCGAAAGGCAGAUUAAUACCGUAUGUGGUCCGAAGACGGCAUCAGAUUCGGACUAAAGGUUCAGCGGUGACGGAUGGGGAUGCGUCCGAUUAGGUAGUAGGCGGGGUAACGGCCCACCUAGCCAUCGAUCGGUAGGGGUUCUGAGAGGAAGGUCCCCCACACUGGAACUGAGACACGGUCCAGACUCCUACGGGAGGCAGCAGUGAGGAAUAUUGGUCAAUGGAGGCAACUCUGAACCAGCCAAGUAGCGUGCAGGAUGACGGCCCUAUGGGUUGUAACUGCUUUUAUGCGGGGAUAAACUGAGUCACGUGUGGCUUAUUGCAGGUACCGCAUGAAUAAGGACCGGCUAAUUCCGUGCCAGCAGCCGCGGUAAUACGGAAGGUCCGGGCGUUAUCCGGAUUUAUUGGGUUUAAAGGGAGCGCAGGCCGCCCCUUAAGCGUGUUGUGAAAUGCCGCGGCUCAACCGUGGCACUGCAGCGCGAACUGGGGGGCUUGAGUGCGCCGGAGGUAGGCGGAAUUCGUGGUGUAGCGGUGAAAUGCUUAGAUAUCACGAAGAACUCCGAUUGCGAAGGCAGCCUACCGUAGCGUUACUGACGCUGAGGCUCGAAGGUGCGGGUAUCGAACAGGAUUAGAUACCCUGGUAGUCCGCACGGUAAACGAUGGAUGCCCGCCGUUGGGCUUUUAAAGUUCAGCGGCCAAGCGAAAGCGUUAAGCAUCCCACCUGGGGAGUACGCCGGCAACGGUGAAACUCAAAGGAAUUGACGGGGGCCCGCACAAGCGGAGGAACAUGUGGUUUAAUUCGAUGAUACGCGAGGAACCUUACCCGGGCUUGAAUUGCAGAUGACGGAUCCAGAGAUGGUGACUUCCUUCGGGACAUCUGUGAAGGUGCUGCAUGGUUGUCGUCAGCUCGUGCCGUGAGGUGUCGGCUUAAGUGCCAUAACGAGCGCAACCCCUUUCGUCAGUUGCCAUCGGGUAAUGCCGGGCACUCUGGCGACACUGCCGCCGCAAGGUGUGAGGAAGGUGGGGAUGACGUCAAAUCAGCACAGCCCUUACGUCCGGGGCGACACACGUGUUACAAUGGCAGGUACAGCGGGAAGCCACCCGGCGACGGGGCGCGGAACCCGAAAACCUGUCUCAGUUCGGAUUGGAGUCUGCAACCCGACUCCAUGAAGCUGGAUUCGCUAGUAAUCGCGCAUCAGCCACGGCGCGGUGAAUACGUUCCCGGGCCUUGCACACACCGCCCGUCAAG
rnacentral:rRNA from 1 species